rnacentral:rRNA from 1 species
UACGUAGGGGGCAAGCGUUGUCCGGAAUCAUUGGGCGUAAAGCGCGCGUAGGCGGCCUUGUAAGUCCGUUCUGAAAGUCCGGGGCUCAACCCCGGGAGGCGGAUGGAUACUGCAAGGCUCGAGUACGGAAGAGGCGAGUGGAAUUCCUGGUGUAGCGGUGAAAUGCGCAGAUAUCAGGAGGAACACCAAUUGCGAAGGCAGCUCGCUGGGACGUUACUGACGCUGAGACGCGAAAGCGUGGGGAGCGAACAGG